rnacentral:rRNA from 1 species
UGCAGCCUACGGGGGGCAGCAGUAGGGAAUAUUGCUCAAUGGGGGAAACCCUGAAGCAGCAACGCCGCGUGGAGGAUGAAGGUUUUCGGAUUGUAAACUCCUUUUGUUAGAGAAGAUAAUGACGGUAUCUAACGAAUAAGCACCGGCUAACUCCGUGCCAGCAGCCGCGGUAAUACGGAGGGGGCAAGCGUUACUCGGAAUCACUGGGCGUAAAGAGCGCGAAGGCGGGAUAGCAAGGCAGAUGUGAAAUCCUAUGGCUUAACCAUAGAACUGCAUUUGAAACUGGUAUUAU